UGUCGCUUGAAGCCACUUAAAGACAGAA
rnacentral:piRNA from 1 species